UGCAGAGCUUUGCUUGGAGUUAGAUGGUCACAAGUGGAGAAAAAUUAACACCAGGGGACAGGGAUAUAAUCUGUGAAAAGAAGAAACUUGAAGCCUCAUCUCCCAAAGCAGGAGCUGCAUUCCUAAAGAACCAAUUUGUGCUAAUUCUCCCUCACCCACAGCACUGAGGAGCACCUAAAUGUGGAGAGAACAGCACUUUUCUCUCAGGAGCAGUGUGACUUUGGGGCCAAGUGAGCACUGCCUGUGUUUGUCAAGGACCACGAGGAAUGUUUGGAGGAGAAUUUUGGAAACCGGCUCAGCGUGAUGUGGAUUAGUAUCAUUUCAGCCUUGCCAUAAUUAAAUACCAGCAGCAAUUA